UGGUUCCUGCUGCCCAGCAUUGGCCAAGGGAACGGGAACAGAGAGGCCUUAACACACCCAUCCCUCCUGGGAGCUGGGGAGAAGCCCACACCACCCAGGAGCCUACAGCUGAGCCCCUACCUCCCCGCCUCGGACCCGCCCCCAGAAGCAACCUGUGGGUCCUGCCUUUCCAUUCUUCCAAACCUUCACUGAGUGCCUGAGGAGUGUGCUCUGCAAAGCCUCUGUGGUCAGGUCAACAAGGCUCAGUGGGGAGCCCACUCUGCCAAGCCCCGCUGGCACAGCCCCAGGGCUCCAGGGGCGACCAAUACUCAGCAGCUGCCUGAGCUCCUCCCGCUGGCCGGGGAGCCUCAGACAGGUCCUGGCAGAAGUCCUCAUGGAGAAGGCUGAGAUGAGACAGAGAGCCCAGGCGUCCCCCAGUCCAUCUGGGCACUCAUUGGUGGCAUCUGCCUUGUAGGGGAGGAACCAGUUCUUUCCAUGGCUCAAACCCCCACCUGACCGGGUCUUGUCCACCGGCCGUGUCCCGGCCUGGCCAACUCGACUGGUCCUCGGAGAAGCCUUCCCGGGCCGCGGCCUCCUGCACUUGCUGUCUGCACAGCCCUAGUCAGAGGUGUGUGACGGUUGGAGGUCUGUAUCCCACCCCCAGCGUCUCCUGAGGGCUCUGCCCACCAGAGGACACGGGGGCUGUCCUGACGUCGCCCCUCUCACCUCCCUAUCGGAACUUGAAAUCCUGGGCACUUGCAUCUGCCAUGAUCCCAGAGGAACUUGGCCCGUUUACUGGUCACCUUAGUUUCAGGUUUGGGGCUGUUCUGUGCAUUAUUCGGUUUACCUGUCAGCAAACCCCCAGGCAGCUCCCAUCCUCCCGGUCCCCGUCCACCAGGCAGCAGGGCGUCCCCUAUCUGCUGUGCCUGUGCUGCUGUCAGACCUCCACAAACCCGCUUGUGCACCAGCGUCCUCAUAAUUAACACUGGAUCCCAUCUGCUGGGAGUCCUUCUGCCAGAGCCUGUGCCUGCCUGUCUCUCAGAACAUCGGAAGUCUUGAACAGCGUCUAACUCCUUUCUUCCCAUUCACGUGAGUGAACGAAAGCUGAAUUCUUCUACACUAAGUAAAAAACAGAAGGAAUUCCUACUUCCCACCUGCAAAUGUAGCUGUAGUGUCACUGCCGUAUUUGACACCAGUCGCACCCGAGCACCAAAAACACACCCGGUGUCCUCAGCUUCCGUGACGGCCUCUGCCCUGGUUCUCCCCACCCCAUGGACAGCAGCACUCCCGGGUGUCUCCUCUGUCCUCAUGCCUUCCAUGGUGACCUGGCCACCAGUGGCUGAAGUCUGACUUGCUCAGUUCCAGAGCAGCAUCUCCAGGCCCUCAGGUACCUCAAGGCCAACGUACCUGUGAGGGCUAACCUGUGCCCUCACCAAAUUCCUGUGUUAAAAUCCAAACUCCCGGUACCUCAGAAUGUGACUUGGACACAGGACCUUUAAAGAAACAAGAUAAAAAAGAUCAUAUGGGUGCAUCCUAGGUGAUUGGUGUCCUUAUAAACGGGAUUGGUGUCCUUAUAAACAGGUGUCCUUAUAAACAAGACCAGAGUCUCCUGGCUCUGGUCCAAGCACCGCAGGCUUCACCAGGACACCUGUACCCUCUCCUGCACCUUCUUGUCAAGGAGACCGUUAAGGCGAGGUUCUCAGUCUCAGCACUACUGAUAUUUCUGGGCGGAGUAAUUCUUCCUUUGGGGGCCUGUCUGGUGCUUUGUAGGGUGCCGAGUGGCUGCCCUGGUCUCCACAUCUUUUCCAGUUUGGAGCCAAAGGGAAGGUAACAGCAGCUGCGAGCUGGUUCCAAUGCUGACUGAACCCGUUCCGCCCACUUGAGCCUGACACCAGGUUGAGAGGCUGGGUUAGGUGCCCACCCCACGCUGACCAUUCUCUUCCAUGGCCUGGGGCACCUGUGUGUGGGGAGGUGGUCUCUCUACUUGGUGGUUUGAACUAACAGAGGAAGCAAGGAGUGCUGUAUGAAUUCACGUGACCUACGGGGAAAGGAAGGGAGGGAAGAAAAGGUCAAGCUGCUGGUUUCUGGGUGAAGAUACCAGCAGAGCAGGCUCGACGUAUGUGCCGAACACAGACACACACAGACCCUUGAAUCCGCACUGGUGAGGCCUCGCUGACGUCCUUCCUUUCCUCCUGGACUUAACUCCACCUCUAACCCCAGCCCUUUGGGUCCUAGAGGAACCAGGAGGCUAAGUAUCCACCAGGAGCAGCUUUGGAGACAAAGAUUCUAAAGGAGAAAGUUAGCAGCCGUAAGAGCCAUAGAGUGGGAGAAAGCGGGUACAGUUAAGGAAGACAUAGGCCAGUGUCAGAGCUGGGCUUUCAAGGAAUUAAGACAGAACGAUGAUAUCAGCUGAGGGCCUUGUCUUCCUGGGACAAGAUGACUGAGGGGAAGAGGAAAAAGGCAGGCUGGAGACCGUCAGCCCUCCACGCCCAGAGCUGCAAUGACAGGGGAAGCCGGGGACCAGACGACGAGAACCACCCCUGGGGACUGGAUGGCACAGGGCCACUGCCCUAUUCAAUGCAGCAGCUCCACGGUGGGGACAAGUCUGUGGUCCAGGCACUGUGCUGACAGGCACCACCUGGGCAUCCCCCUCUCAGCAAACCGCUCCCAGGAUCGAGCAAGCAGGGCUCCCAGGUGUGGGGACAGUUCCCAGUAACAACCAGUGCCCUGGACCCAAAGCCAGGACAUGGCGACGUUUCCAGGCAGCCCCGAGGCUCACUGGUGCUUAAAAAAGCAGACAUAUCCUGAGUUAUGUGCUCAACUUGAACGGCUGAAAAUCAGAGCCGGUGGUCCAGGCCCAUUUGGGCCUGCUCUUGAGGUGGGGCUGGGCGGGCUCUGUCAGGGUCUUGCCAGAGGAGAACCCCACCUCUUAGAGAGCCUGGCACAUGGAAGGUUCGGGCUGUGAUAGGAGGCCAUCCAGUGUCACCCUUAGCCACUGCCGGACACUAGAGUGAAGCUUCCCUUCUCACUGGGGCCCCCUUUGAGAAUGAGAGGUAUAGACCUUCUUGCCUAAAAGGUUCAUAAGGGUUCUUAAAAGUUACUUCAGGGGCCGGACG